rnacentral:rRNA from 1 species
UACGUAGGGGGCAAGCGUUGUCCGGAUUUAUUGGGCGUAAAGAGCGUGUAGGCGGCCAUACAGGUCAGCUGUGAAAACUCGAGGCUCAACCUCGAGACGUCGGUUGAAACCGUAUGGCUAGAGUCCGGAAGAGGAGAGUGGAAUUCCUGGUGUAGCGGUGAAAUGCGCAGAUAUCAGGAAGAACACCCGUGGCUAAGGCGGCUCUCUAGUACGGUACUGACGCUGAGACGCGAAAGCGUGGGGAGCGAACAGG